rnacentral:rRNA from 1 species
AUGAGCAAGAGAAAAUGGCCGGGGAAUCCCUGUUGUUCUUUCUGCAAACAGGUGGAAACGGUGCAACAUCUGUUCUUUACUUGCCCCGUGGCCAGAAUUGUCUGGCGAUCUAUUGGAGUAGUUCUUGGCACUGAUACAUGCCCGUCGAAUUACUGGCAAUACUUCGUUUGGUGCCACAAAUAUCUUCCUGGGAAGCAAACGUUUUAUACAGUGGGUUUAGCAGCCACGUGUUGGGCCAUUUGGUUGGCGCGCAAUCGAGCUACUUUUGAAAAGAAACAAAUCAAGACUCCUUUUGAGAUUGUGUUUUCUCUAUGCUUUUUUCUUCUUUACUGGACAGGGCUACAACAAGGAGAGGACGCCAAAGAGCUUCGCACUGGAGCUGAGAUGAUCAGCACUAGCACAUUGCAGCUUAUGAAGAUGUGUGGUGCUUUCAAGCAACCAAUCCAAGGUGCCUGA